rnacentral:rRNA from 1 species
GGUUAAAUAGCACGUGAAAUUGUUGAAAGGGCAGCGCUUGUGACCAGACUUGCGCCUGGCCGAUCAUCCGGGGUUCUCCCCGGUGCACUCGGCCAGGCUCAGGCCAGCAUCGGUUCUCUCGGGGGGACAAAGGCUCCGGGAACGUAGCUCCCUCCGGGGAGUGUUAUAGCCCGGGGCGUAAUGCCCUCGAGGGGACCGAGGACCGCGCUUCGGCAAGGAUGCUGGCGUUACGGUCAUCAGCGACCCGUCUUGAAACACGGACCAAGAGCGAUUCGUUA